UCCAGCGCACUCACCUAUCCACUAAACAGCAACUUCAAUGUUGAAAGAUUUUAUUUGUUUUUUUAAAAACACCUAAUUUAGGCAUUAUUUUUGCCUAAAUUAGGUGUUUUUAAAAAAACAAAUAAAAUCUUUCAACAUUGAAGUUGCUGUUUAGUGGAUAGGUGAGUGCGCUGGA